CUUCAGUGGAUCAGGCAAAUAAUACCUUAGAAGUAGCUCAGCAACAACUGCAGUCCUGGAAUUGUGGAAAGAGUAAUAAAAGCAGAUACUGCUUUUCAGAUGCUUUGAAUGUGGACUUUGAACUGAGAGAUGACAUUUGGGAUGAUAUUGAUGAUGAUAAAUUGGUAUUUGCCAGUAAUUUUGUCAGUAGAGAAUUAGAACAUGGAAAUACCUGCCUUCAAAGUGCAGAUGAAUGUCAACCCCUCUGCUGGUAUACAAAAAGCAAAGCCACAAAUAACAUUUCAAAAGAUCCAUGCACAGUACAAGAUGAGACCAGUAGUCAGAACUCAGAUGUUUCUGUGGUCAAUAGCACAUCAAAAGUGAAUUUUUCUGUACAGAAUAGGAAUAUUACUUUGUUCAGUUCUCAUGAAAAAACACAUUCAAGUCCUUCUCAAGAGCAAAAAAAUGUACAGUGUUCUGCCAUUCCAGAAUUAAUCUCAGACUCUUCUAAAUUCACUAGGAAAGAAGAUUUUUUUAUUUUCACAAAAGAACAGGAAAAAGAAGUAGAUCCUAGAUUUCUUCUUGAUGAUGAAACCAAUGAUGUCAAGCCCUUUCUUGGAAUAUUUGAUGGUAUUUUGUAAAACAUGUAAGCAAAAUACAUUGUAAGUGCUAGGGAAAGAACUUACAGUCAAUUUUACAGUGAAGGCUUCAGUCAAGAGAAUUUGAUUUCUGUUGGAUACCUGUUUAUUAAUAGCUGGAUUGCUGCAUAGAAUAUAUAAUAAAUUAGACACCAGUUUUUUGUAGAAUUUAUAG
rnacentral:lncRNA from 1 species